CCUACGGGAGGCAGCAGUGAGGAAUAUUGGUCAAUGGCCGCGAGCCUGAACCAGCCAAGUCGCGUGAGGGAAGAAGGUCCUAUGGAUUGUAAACCUCUUUUGUCAGGGAGCAAAAGACGCCACGCGUGGCGUUCCGAGAGUACCCGAAGAAAAAGCAUCGGCUAACUCCGUGCCAGCAGCCGCGGUAAUACGGAGGAUGCGAGCGUUAUCCGGAUUUAUUGGGUUUAAAGGGUGCGCAGGCGGAAGAUCAAGGCAGCGGUACAAUAGGGGCGCUCAACCUCGUCUAGCCGUUGAAACUGGUUUUCUUGAGUGAGCGAGAAGUAUGCGGAAUGCGUGGUGUAGCGGUGAAAUGCAUAGAUAUCACGCAGAACUCCGAGUGCGAAGGCAGCAUACCGGCGCUCAACUGACGCUCAUGCACGAAAGUGUGGGUAUCGAACAGGAUUAGAUACCCGUGUAGUC
rnacentral:rRNA from 1 species